GAUUACACGCAUUUUAAAUCAUAUUGCAAUGUGGACAAUUAAGUUUGUUUAGUCAAGGUUCUGGUUGUAUUGUUGGUGUGUGUUUCCUUGAAUCUACAUUAAACAAUGUCUGGGGUACACAAAAAAGCUGGAGAAACUCAGCGGGUGCAGCAGCA